UACGGAGGGGGCUAGCGUUGUUCGGAAUUACUGGGCGUAAAGCGCACGUAGGCGGCUUUGUAAGUUAGAGGUGAAAGCCCGGGGCUCAACUCCGGAAUUGCCUUUAAGACUGCAUCGCUAGAAUCCGGGAGAGGUGAGUGGAAUUCCGAGUGUAGAGGUGAAAUUCGUAGAUAUUCGGAAGAAACACCAGUGGCGAAGGCGGCUCACUGGACCGGUAUUGACGCUGAGG
rnacentral:rRNA from 1 species